CUUUGNGGUUUAAUUUGCGCAGUAUANGGUGGGAGGUUAAGAAGAUAUANCUUGAGGGUAUAUAANGAGCCAUCAGUGAGAUACCACUCUUAUUAAACUAAAANUUCUAACCUUGACAGUCGUUAACCGGCCAAGGAACAGUUUCAGAUGGGCAGUUUGACUGGGGCGGUCGCCUCCUAAAAAGUAACGGAGGCGUACAAAGGUUUCUUCAGGCUGGUCGGAAAUCAGUCGUAGAGUAUAAAGGCAUAAAGAAGCUUGACUGCAAGACNCUACAAGUCGAGCAGAGACGAAAGUCGGUCUUAGUGAUCCGACAGUACUGAGUGGAAAGGC
rnacentral:rRNA from 1 species